GUGAACGCUGGCGGUAGGCCUAACACAUGCAAGUCGCACGGCAGCACAGUAAGAGCUUGCUCUUACGGGUGGCGAGUGGCGGACGGGUGAGGAAUACAUCGGAAUCUACUUUUUCGUGGGGGAUAACGUAGGGAAACUUACGCUAAUACCGCAUACGACCUACGGGUGAAAGCAGGGGAUCUUCGGACCUUGCGCGAUUGAAUGAGCCGAUGUCGGAUUAGCUAGUUGGCGGGGUAAAGGCCCACCAAGGCGACGAUCCGUAGCUGGUCUGAGAGGAUGAUCAGCCACACUGGAACUGAGACACGGUCCAGACUCCUACGGGAGGCAGCAGUGGGGAAUAUUGGACAAUGAGCGCAAGCCUGAUCCAGCCAUACCGCGUGGGUGAAGAAGGCCUUCGGGUUGUAAAGCCCUUUUGUUGGGAAAGAAAAGCAGCAGGUUAAUACCCCGCUGUUCUGACGGUACCCAAAGAAUAAGCACCGGCUAACUUCGUG
rnacentral:rRNA from 1 species